rnacentral:rRNA from 1 species
CGGGAAUUUUGGGCAAUGGGCGAAAGCCUGACCCAGCAACGCCGCGUGAGGGAUGAAGUAUUUCGGUAUGUAAACCUCGAAAGAAUGGGAAGAAUAAAUGACGGUACCAUUUAUAAGCUCCGGCUAACUACGUGCCAGCAGCCGCGGUAAUACGUAGGGAGCAAGCGUUGUUCGGAUUUACUGGGCGUAAAGGGCGCGUAGGCGGCGCGGUAAGUCACUUGUGAAAUCUCUGAGCUUAACUCAGAACGGCCAAGUGAUACUGCUGUGCUAGAGUGCGGAAGAGGCAACCGGAAUUCUUGGUGUAGCGGUGAAAUGCGUAGAUAUCAAGAGGAACACCUGAGGCGAAGGCGGGUUGCUGGGCCUACACUGACGCUGAUGCGCGAAAGCCAGGGGAGCAAACG